UACGGAGGGGGCAAGCGUUAUUCGGAAUUAUUGGGCGUAAAGGGCGCGUAGGCGGCCUCACAAGUCAGGGGUGAAAUCCCUCGGCUCAACCGAGGAAUUGCCUCUGAAACUGUGAGGCUUGAGUCCGGGAGAGGGUGGUGGAAUUCCCAGUGUAGCGGUGAUAUGCGUAGAUACUGGGAGGAACACCAGUGGCGAAGGCGGCCACCUGGACCGGUACUGACGCUGAGGCGCGAAAGCGUGGGGAGCAAACAGG
rnacentral:rRNA from 1 species